rnacentral:rRNA from 1 species
CUACACGGGUUUCUAAUCCCAUUCGCUCCCCUGGCUUUCGUUCCUCAGCGUCAGUUAUGGCCCAGCAAGCCGCCUACGCCACCGGUGUUCUUCCCAAUAUCUACGCAUUUCACCGCUACACUGGGAAUUCCGCUUGCCUCUACCAUACUCUAGUCUGCCAGUAUCCAAUGCACUCCCGAGGUUGAGCCUCAGUCUUUAACAUCAGACUUAACAAACCACCUACGAACUCUUUACGCCCAAUAAAUCCGGACAACGCUUGCAUCCUACGUCUUACCGCGGCUGCUGGCAC